rnacentral:rRNA from 1 species
ACUGCUCAGUAACACGUGGAUAACAUGCCCUAAGGUGGGGGAUAAUCUCGGGAAACUGAGGAUAAUACCCCAUAGGUCUGAUCUGCUGGAAUGCUUUCAGGCCGAAAACUCCGGUGCCUUAGGAUUGGUCUGCGGUCUAUCAGGCUGUAGUGGGUGUAACGGACCCACUAGCCCGUGACGGAUAUGGGCCUUGAGAGAGGGAGCCCAGAGAUGGACUCUGAGACAUGAGUCCAGGCCCUACGGGGCGCAGCAGUCGCGAAAACUUCGCAAUGGGGGCAACCCCGACGAGGGAAUUCCAAGUGCCAGCACUUUGUGUUGGCUGUUCUUCUGUCUAAAAAACAGGAGGAGUAAGGGGCGGGUAAGACGGGUGCCAGCCGCCGCGGUAAUACCCGCGCCCCUAGUGGUGGUCGAUAUUAUUGAGCCUAAAACGUCCGUAGCCGGUCUUCUAAAUCCUUGGGUAAAUCGGGCAGCUUAACUGUCCGAAGUCCGGGGAGACUGGAAGACUUGGGACCGGGAGAGGUCAGAGGUACUUCUGGGGUAGGGGUAAAAUCCUGUAAUCCUGGAAGGACCACCGGUGGCGAAGGCGUCUGACUAGAACGGAUCCGACGGUGAGGGACGAAGCCCUGGGGCGCAAACGGGAUUAGAUACCCCGGUAGUCCAGGGUGUAAACGCUGCGGGCUUGGUGUUGGGGGUCCUUAGUGGGCGCCCAGUGCCGGAGAGAAGUUGUUAAGCCUGCUGCUUGGGGAGUAUGUCCGCAAGGAUGAAACUUAAAGGAAUUGGCGGGGGAGCAC